GGGGUUGUGGCGCAACGGUAGCGCGCGCGACUCCAGUUCCAAUAUCUUGGUCAUCGCGCGGUUGCAGGUUCGAAUCCUGUCGACCUCA